GCGCAAAAUGCCAAUAUGGCGGACCACAAAGGUUUGCAUUGCAAUCAACAGAAUGGAAGAUGUAGCUAAGCAAAGGAGCACCAUUUUGGCUGUCGAGGAUAGGAAAAUAUCUGAUGUUUCCAGCCAUCUGAAUAUGUUUGUAGAUUCUUAUUCUUUGUCCAUAAUUCUGUACCUGGAUUGACAUAUUUAGUGUAGUUUAAUGGGGCUUCAUGAUUUGUGGUCCGCCA
rnacentral:misc_RNA from 1 species